UACGUAGGGGGCAAGCGUUGUCCGGAUUUAUUGGGCGUAAAGAGCGUGUAGGCGGCCAUGUAGGUCCGUUGUGAAAACUCGAGGCUCAACCUCGAGACGCCGAUGGAAACCAUGUGGCUAGAGUCCGGAAGAGGAGAGUGGAAUUCCUGGUGUAGCGGUGAAAUGCGCAGAUAUCAGGAAGAACACCCGUGGCUAAGGCGGCUCGCUGGGACGUAACUGACGCUGAGACGCGAAAGCGUGGGGAGCAAACAGG
rnacentral:rRNA from 1 species